rnacentral:tRNA from 1 species
GCCCCGGUAGCUCAGUUGGUAGAGCAGGUGACUCUUAAUCACUCGGUCCCAGGUUCGAGCCCUGGCCGGGGCA